rnacentral:rRNA from 1 species
AUUGAACGCUGGCGGCAGGCCUAACACAUGCAAGUCGAGCGGAUGAAGGGAGCUUGCUCCUGGAUUCAGAGGCGGACGGGUGUGUAAUGCCUAGGAAUCUGCCUGGUAGUGGGGGAUAACGUCCGGAGACGGGCGCUAAUACCGCCUACGAACAGAGGGAGAAAGAGGGGGAUCUUCGGACCUCACGCUAUCAGAUGAGCCUAGGUCGAAUUAGCUAGUUGGUGGGGUAAAGGCCUACCAAGGCGACGAUCCGUAACUGGUCUGAGAGGAUGAUCAGUCACACUAGAACUGAGACACGGUCCAGACUCCUACGGGAGGCAGCAGUGGGGAAUAUUGGACAAUGGGCGAAAGCCUGAUCCAGCCAUGCCGCGUGUGUGAAGAAGGUCUUCGGAUUGUAAAGCACUUUAAGUUGGGAGGAAGGGCAGUAAGUUAAUACCUUGCUGUUUUGACGUUACCAACAGAAUAAGCACCGGCUAACUUCGUG